CAAAACCAAAGGAACUAAUUGUUUCACAAAACUUUUUAUAAAGCUCUAGUCCCCCUCACAAUUUUUUUUAAAGGAAUCUUAUCAAAGCAUUUUAACUGUUGAAGAUGGUUUUUAUAAUGCUAACCCCAGUUUGUGUGCAACAAAGUUUUUUGGUUCUUGGCAUUGCAAAUCGUGGGAUCGCUCAAAAGAUCCAGCUUAUUAUCAAAGCAUUUUGAUUGAAACAGGUUCGGUCAAAAUUAAACACUUCCCA
rnacentral:misc_RNA from 1 species